rnacentral:rRNA from 1 species
GACAGAGGGGGCAAGCGUUGCUCGGAAUCACUGGGCGUAAAGGGCGCGUAGGCGGGAUGGCAAGUUAGUCGUGAAAUCUCUCGGCUCAACCGAGAAACGUCGGCUGAUACUGCCGUUCUUGAGGGAUGCAGAGGAGACUGGAAUUCCCGGUGUAGCGGUGAAAUGUGUAGAGAUCGGGAGGAACACCGGUGGCGAAGGCGGGUCUCUGGGCAUCUCCUGACGCUGAGACGCGAAAGCGUGGGGAGCGAACAGG